rnacentral:rRNA from 1 species
UACGUAGGCAGCAAGCGUUGUUCGGAGUUACUGGGUGUAAAGGGUUCGUAGGCGGUGCGGCAAGUUGGGAGUGAAAUCUCUGGGCUUAACCCAGAGGCUGCUUCCAAAACUGCUGUGCUUGAGUGUGGGAGAGGCGCGUGGAAUUGCAGGUGUAGCGGUGAAAUGCGUAGAUAUCUGCAGGAACACCCGUGGCGAAAGCGGCGCGCUGGACCACUACUGACGCUGAGGAACGAAAGCUAGGGGAGCAAACAGG